rnacentral:tRNA from 1 species
UGGGCGAUCGUUUAAUGGUAGGACAGUGCCCUUUGGAGGCAUCAGUCCAGGUUCGAGUCCUGGUCGCCCAGCCA